UACGUAGGGUGCAAGCGUUAUCCGGAAUUAUUGGGCGUAAAGGGCGCGUAGGCGGCCACGCACGUCCGUUGUGAAAUCGCCCGGCUCAACUGGGCGGGGUCGGCGGAUACGGCGUGGCUGGAGCAAGCUAGGGGGCAAUGGAAUUCCCGGUGUAGUGGUGGAAUGCGUAGAUAUCGGGAGGAACACCAGUGGCGAAGGCGGUUGCCUGGAGCUUUGCUGACGCUGAGGCGCGAAAGCGUGGGGAGCGAUCCGG
rnacentral:rRNA from 1 species